rnacentral:rRNA from 1 species
UACGAAGGGUGCAAGCGUUACUCGGAAUUAUUGGGCGUAAAGGGCGCGUAGGCGGCUUUGCAAGUGACGGGUGAAAUCCCUCGGCUUAACCGAGGAACUGCCUGUCAAACUGCAUGGCUUGAGACCGGGAGAGGUGAGUGGAAUUCCCAGUGUAGCGGUGAAAUGCGUAGAUAUUGGGAGGAACACCAGUGGCGAAGGCGGCUCACUGGACCGGUACUGACGCUGAGGCGCGAAAGCGUGGGGAGCAAACAGGGAUUAAGAA